AUUGAACGCUGGCGGCAUGCUUUACACAUUCAAGUCGAACGGCAGCGCGGGCUUCGGCCUGGCGGCGAGUGGCGAACGGGUGAGUAAUGCAUCGGAACGUGCCCAGUAGUGGGGGAUAGCCCGGCGAAAGCCGGAUUAAUACCGCAUACGACCUGAGGGUGAAAGCGGGGGACCGAAAGGCCUCGCGCUAUUGGAGCGGCCGAUGUCGGAUUAGCUAGUUGGUGGGGUAAAGGCUUACCAAGGCGACGAUCCGUAGCUGGUCUGAGAGGACGACCAGCCACACUGGGACUGAGACACGGCCCAGACUCCUACGGGAGGCAGCAGUGGGGAAUUUUGGACAAUGGGGGCAACCCUGAUCCAGCCAUGCCGCGUGCGGGAAGAAGGCCUUCGGGUUGUAAACCGCUUUUGUUCGGGAAGAAAUCCUCUGGGCUAAUACCCCGGGGGGAUGACGGUACCGGAAGAAUAAGCACCGGCUAACUACGUG
rnacentral:rRNA from 1 species